GUGGGGAAUAUUGGACAAUGGGCGAAAGCCUGAUCCAGCCAUGCCGCGUGUGUGAAGAAGGUCUUCGGAUUGUAAAGCACUUUAAGUUGGGAGGAAGGGCAGUAAGUUAAUACCUUGCUGUUUUGACGUUACCGACAGAAUAAGCACCGGCUAACUUCGUGCCAGCAGCCGCGGUAAUACGAAGGGUGCAAGCGUUAAUCGGAAUUACUGGGCGUAAAGCGCGCGUAGGUGGUUCAGCAAGUUGGAGGUGAAAUCCCCGGGCUCAACCUGGGAACUGCCUCCAAAACUGCAUGACUAGAGUACGGUAGAGGGUAGUGGAAUUUCCUGUGUAGCGGUGAAAUGCGUAGAUAUAGGAAGGAACACCAGUGGCGAAGGCGACUACCUGGACUGAUACUGACACUGAGGUGCGAAAGCGUGGGGAGCAAACAGGAUUAGAUACCCGUGUAGUCC
rnacentral:rRNA from 1 species